rnacentral:lncRNA from 1 species
GAAAGCGCUCCAAAUGUCCACAUCCAGAUACUACAAAAAGAGUGUUUCAAACCUGCUCUAUGAAAGGGAAUGUUCAACUCUGUGACUUGAAUGCAAACAUCACAAAGAAGUUUCUGGGAAUGCUGCUGUCUGCUUUUUAUAUGUAAUCCCGUUUCCAACGAAAUCCUCAAAGCUAGACAAAUAUCCACUUGCAUAUUCCACAAAAAGAGUGCUUCAAACCUGCUCUAUGAAAGGGAAUGUUCAACUCUAUUACUUGAAUGCAAACAUCCCAAAGAUGUUUCUGAGAAUGCUUCUGUGUAGAUUU